AGCUUAUUCAUGGGUCAACUCUAUAAUUAGAUGUCAAGCAAUUGAGGUGUAUAGACGAAAAGAGAAGUCUUCUUCAGUUGUGGUUCGGCGUCGGUGGGAGAAGGAUAGGUCUAUGGUGGUCGCUUCGCAACUGUGGAAAAUCAGAGCAAGGUUCGAACUUUUUGGCAGUUGAUACUUUUUCUUUUUCACCAAUUUUGUUGCUAACUGGAGACGGAGAUGAUUCUUACGGUGUUGUGUCGUCGUCGUGAAUGUAGGAAGGUAGAGAUGGGAAUGG
rnacentral:lncRNA from 1 species